UCAGUAGUGCCUGAGGUGACAACAUCCUAUUACUAUGGCAGUGUUUCUGGACACCAAAUGACCAUAAAUGAUGCAGUCAUUUUGUCCAAAUGAGUCUGGGGCAGUAUUGCAACAGAUGUUUUCCUUACCUUAAAUAGCCUGUUGUAUCUUCUAGGUUGGAGCACAAAUUUUGCAUAUGCUUCAUUGCACAAGUUUAGAUGAUUUUUAGAUGUGCUUUCGGAAGCAGUGAGCUAUGGUUUGGAUGAAGCUAUUGACAGCUCAUAAGGGUGACGCACAAGUCUGAGUUGCUCCUGCAGAUUCCCUUCAGUACACUUGAAAUCAUUUCUUUUUAAAUCAAAUAUGGCCUUUCCUCUGUCCUUCAGGUACUCGAGAAACAUGGAUUAUCUUUAAUUCGCCUUUUGGAAAGAGACUACCUUCAACUCCCUCAUGUUUCCAGCGGGGUGAAGGAGUCCACACCAGAAGCAGGAGGUUGUUGCUCCGUUUCUUUCUGAAUUCCUUCCCCAGAGACGCUGCUUCCCUGUGUGGUGUACGUUUCACCUCGUGGUGGACGUCCAAGUGCUGUUCUGCAAGACAUACCCAGCCCUCGCAGAGCCAGCCCCAAAGGUAUCUGGGAGCCGUUCCUCUCUUGGAACGGAUUGCGACAUUGCAUCAUCUUCUCCUUGCAACCCCCACAUUUCCAACUGUUUCAGCCAAAAGAAGCAGGGCUCAAAGCCUUUCCAGGUYUAGCUUGAUAUUCCUUCUUGAAACUACCACUUUCUGUUUCUUGUUUUGGGUCUUUUUUCAUUAUUAUUAUUUGUCUGGUUUAUAUCGUCCUUUCAUUCUAACGGUUUGAUUUUUGUGGCUGUUUCUGUGUUUGUUCGCUGCUGCAGUAGAUAUCAACAACAUGAUUAAAUUCCAGCUCUGACUGUUGCAACAUAAGUGCUCUGCCUUCAUUAUCUGCGGUGCCUAAAACUAUUUGAUCUCUAAUAAGUUYGCCUGCAAGUGUGCCUCAUUUGCAUGAUGAGGCUAACUGGUGCAGCCUGGUUGCAUAUUGGUCUGUGAUUUCAGUUUCUCUUCGAUCAGAUGUAUCAAGCAGAAGGAACUAUUAGAAUUGCCAGCAACUGUAUAUAUAUUUUUUAAUCAUGCCAGAAUACUGAGAAUCCCAGACAGCCUUACUAGGCUAGAGAAAGCCACUGAUAAAAGGCAUGGGAGAACUCCUCAUGCCUGCUGGCACAUAAACCAGGGCUGUGCUGGGGGUAGUUGGUCUGCUUUGGUGGAACAAGCUGUUAAAAUCGCAUCCAGCUCUGAGCUGGCUGUUGGACAGCCUCCUUUGAUGAGU
rnacentral:lncRNA from 1 species